UGCUAUACAUGCAGUCGAGCGCAGGAAAUAAACAGGAUCCCUUCGGGGUAAUGUUUAUGGAAUGAGCGGCGGACGGGUGAGUAACACGUGGGCAACCUGCCUGUAAGAUCGGGAUAACUCGCGGAAACGUGAGCUAAUACCGGAUAACACUUUUCAUCUCAUGGUGAGAAGAUAAAAGACGGUUUCGGCUGUCACUUACAGAUGGGCCCGCGGCGCAUUAGCUAGUUGGUGAGGUAACGGCUCACCAAGGCGACGAUGCGUAGCCGACCUGAGAGGGUGAUCGGCCACACUGGGACUGAGACACGGCCCAGACUCCUACGGGAGGCAGCAGUAGGGAAUCUUCCGCAAUGGACGAAAGUCUGACGGAGCAACGCCGCGUGAGUGAUGAAGGUUUUCGGAUCGUAAAACUCUGUUGUUAGGGAAGAACAAGUUGGGUAGUAACUGACCCAACCUUGACGGUACCUAACCAGAAAGCCACGGCUAACUACGUGCCAGCAGCCGCGGUAAUACGUAGGUGGCAAGCGUUGUCCGGAAUUAUUGGGCGUAAAGCGCUCGCAGGCGGUCUUUUAAGUCUGAUGUGAAAGCCCACGGCUUAACCGUGGAGGGUCAUUGGAAACUGGAGGACUUGAGUACAGAAGAGGAGAGUGGAAUUCCACGUGUAGCGGUGAAAUGCGUAGAGAUGUGGAGGAACACCAGUGGCGAAGGCGACUCUCUGGUCUGUAACUGACGCUGAGGAGCGAAAGCGUGGGUAGCGAACAGAUUAGAUACCCUGGUAGUCCACGCCGUAAAC
rnacentral:rRNA from 1 species